GCCCCUGUAGCUCAGUAGGAUAGAGCACCGGUUUCCUAAACCGGGUGUCGGCCGUUCGAAUCGGCCCAGGGGCA
rnacentral:tRNA from 1 species